rnacentral:lncRNA from 1 species
CUGGUUCUAGGCACUGACAAUCUGUGGAAGGUAGGCACGAAGAGAGAGCAAUACAGGUGGGCUAAGGUGAGAUUAAAGAUAUAAGAGAUGAAGAUUAGAAGUACAGAUUUAUGUUCAAAGAACAUCCAAAAAGUCAAUGAAGGAAAAAAAGAAGAAAUAAAAAGUAAUCAGCCAUCAUAUCCAUAAGUUUUGAGUCAGUUCAUAGGAACUAAUUAACAUUGAAAGCUUUGGCUGGGGCCAGGACAGCUAUUUACAUAGUGGUAACAGAAGUCUACUAAAGGCAGAGAGCCCUGGGAGAGGAGAAAAUGAUGUCUGCCAGGUAGGAGAUCAAAGAGCUCCAGGAACCUUGACCAUGAGAGUUAAUAUGAAGGACACAUUGCAGAGGAGAAAUAGAAAGCUUACCUCACCAUGUGCCAGUGUCGAAUUCAGCUUCCAGGUUCAGUUUUCCUACCUCUUCAAUUUAGAGAGAGGAUAUUUUCCCCUCAAUUUUUUCCUUGACUGGACAUUCUGCCUAAAAGUUGAUUCCACUUAAACUGAAUUUUGAGUAAAUAUUUAACCUGAAAGAGCUUAUCUUUUUCAUUAAUACUUUGGAAGAUAUAAGAAUAUAGUAAAUAUUAUGGAAUUAUGAUGUGUAGCGCAAAGUUCUAUGUGAGUGUGUUAUGAGUUGAAUCUUUUCUCCCCCAAAAUCAUGUGUUGAAGUCCUAACACCCAGUACCUCAGAAUGUGGCCUUAUUUGUAAAUAGAGUUGAUGCAGAUGUAAUGUGAAGUUAACAGGAGGUCACACUGGAGCAGGGUAGGCUCUUAACCCAAUAUGACUAGUGACCUUAUAACAAGGGGAAAUUUGGACGCAGAGAGAUGCAUACAGGGAAGAUGAUGUGAAGAGACACAGGAGAAGACAGGCGUCUACACACCAAGGAGAGAGGCCUGGAAUAGAUCCUUCCCUCACAGCUCCCGGAAGGAACCAACGCAGGGGAUGUCACCAAAGCUCAUAAGUGAAGAGCAUGCCCAAGAAAGUGAGCUCCAUGAAUGCUGGGACCUCAUCUGUCCUGUGCCCCACUGUAUCUUUGGUGUCUAGAUUGGUGCCUGUAACACAGCAGGCCUCAAUAAAUGUUUUUUGAAUAAAUAAAUGCACAGUUUGAAUUUAAGUUAAUAGAUAAGUUUGGCAGUUUAUGAGAUGUUGCAGUCAAAUUUUGUUGGUGCCAAUUCUUAACACUGAUGUAAAGAUGGGCAGAACAAAAUUGGGCACAAUUUACUCUAUGAGAGGCUGAAUGGUUUCUUUCUUGACCCUGGUGUAGGAGGGUGUGAUUGCAUAAUUGUUCUAUGUAGAAAUAGAAGAAUCUUAGCACCUGAUGACCCACUUUGGGCUUGGAAACCUGGCACAGUCAACAUAAAAGAAAUGCUGCUACACAAGACUAGUAAAUUAAGUUUCUAAGUUCAUUCUCAGGCCUACUGACUUAUUAGAUUUUCUCAGUACGGUAUGGUAGUUAAGAUCAGGCUCUCAGCCUAGGCUUGAACCCCAGCUCUGCCUCUUCCUAGCUGUGUGACUGUGGGCAAAUUAUGUAAAUUUUGAGGGCCUUAUUUUCCUCAUCUGUGUACUGUGGAUGAUAAUUAUUGCAUUCUAGUUCCAUAAUUUCUAUAUAGCAAGGGCUUAUGAGAAGCAGUGUGAUUGGAAGAUGUGAAGAGAUUUAGGAGCUAGUUUACAGAGCAAGCACAGUCUACUUAGUUCUCUUAUUUUGAGGUCCUGAUGGAGAUUUGGUGGCCCCUAAAGAUCUCCCAAGAUGCCCAUUGUGUGGAUUUAGUAAGAUAAAGUUUAAAAGCCCUUAGUAGAAUGCCUGGUGCGUAAUGAGGGCUCAACAAAUGUUCCCUGAUGUUGUUGUUGUUAUAUCAGUGCCGUGUAGAUGCUCAUAAGAGUAACAUAAGCCCACAUUCUAAACAAAUAAUCAAAAUGGAUUUCCAAAGUAGGCAUAGGAAAGAUGGUGUCUUAGUCAGUUCAGUAUGCUAUAUAAAAAAGUACCACAAACUGGGUGGCUUAUAAAUAACAGAAAUUUCUUUCUCACAGUUCUGGAAGCUGGAAGUCCAAGAUCAGGAUGUCAGCAUGGUCAGGCUCUAGAGGGGGCCCUCUUCCAGGUCACAGACUGCCAUCUUCUUGUUGUAUCCUCACAUGGCAGAAAGAGAAGAAGACAGAUCACUGGGGUCUCUUAUAAAGGCACUAAUCUCAUUUAUGAAGGCUCGACUAUCAUGACCUAAUUACCAAAGACCCCACCUCCUAACACUAUCACAUUGGGUUUAAGGAUUUCAACAUAUGAAUUUUAGAGGGACACAAACAUUCAGUCCACUGCCGAUGGUUAUCUCAACAAGUCUCUGGAGAGCUAAGUACUAAUGUCCAGAGAAGAGACAAGGUUCAACCAAUAGAUAUUUAAGGACUGCAAAUGGAGUUUCCUUCAAUAUAUUUUCCCACAGAGAAGAGUCUCCUUAUCUUUGAAUCCUUACAAAGUCUUAUAUUAUGGAGUACUCUCACAAUUAC